CUUGACUGUAGCCUGGAAUUGGGUUCGGGCUUUUCUUGCGCAGACUAGGUGGGAGGCUAUGAAGAUUUCCUUCCGGGGAAGUUGGAGCCAUCAGUGAGAGACCACUCUGGAGAGGCUAGAAUCCUAAUGGUGAUCCUUGAAUCAGGACACUUGACAGUUUCAGGUGGGCAGUUUUUCUGGGGCGGAAGCCUCAUAAAGGGUAACUGAGGCGCGCAAAGGUCCCCUCAGUCUGGACGGAAAUCAGACAACGAGUGUAAAGGCAAAAGGGAGCUUGACUGCAAGACCCACAAGUCGAGCAGGAGCGAAAGCUGGCCUUAGUGAUCCGACGGUGCCGUGUGGAAGGGCCGUCGCUCAACGGAUAAAAGUUA
rnacentral:rRNA from 1 species